rnacentral:rRNA from 1 species
CACGUAGGCACCAAGCGUUGUCCGGAUUUAUUGGGCGUAAAGAGCGUGUAGGCGGUCAGGUAGGUCUGCUGUGAAAACUCGAGGCUCAACCUCGAGACGUCGGCGGAAACCAUCUGGCUAGAGUCCGGAAGAGGAGAGUGGAAUUCCUGGUGUAGCGGUGAAAUGCGCAGAUAUCAGGAAGAACACCCGUGGCGAAGGCGGCUCUCUGGGACGGUACUGACGCUGAGACGCGAAAGCGUGGGGAGCGAACAGG